rnacentral:lncRNA from 1 species
CCGGGUGCCGCGGGAGGCCGAUUGCAAGUGUCGACAAGCAAUCGGAAUGCGAAAUGAGGUGGGUUGUGCUUACCGAAGCGACUAGGUCGCCUGUAUGUCUAAGAGAAAUGAGAUUUCAUAUUGAUGCAUAUUGACAUAAUAUAAGAAUGUGAAAAGAAUGCAUGUUAACAUACUAUAGAAAUGCAUAUGAUUAAUGCUUUGAAUGCAUAAUAUA